UACGGAGGGGGCUAGCGUUGUUCGGAAUUACUGGGCGUAAAGCGCGCGUAGGCGGACCUGCAAGUCGGGGGUGAAAGCCCGAGGCUCAACCUCGGAACUGCCUUCGAUACUGCGGGUCUCGAGUCCGGAAGAGGAGUGUGGAAUUCCUGGUGUAGCGGUGAAAUGCGCAGAUAUCAGGAAGAACACCCGUGGCGAAGGCGGCUCUCUGGGACGGUACUGACGCUGAGACGCGAAAGCGUGGGGAGCGAACAGG
rnacentral:rRNA from 1 species